UCAGCUCGUGUCGUGAGAUGUUGGGUUAAGUCCCGCAACGAGCGCAACCCUUGUCUUCUGUUGCCAUCGGGUUAUGCCGGGCACUCUGAAGAGACUGCCGGUGACAAACCGGAGGAAGGUGGGGAUGACGUCAAGUCAGCAUGGCCUUUAUGUCUGGGGCCACACACGUGCUACAAUGGCCGGUACAAACCGUCGCGAUCUCGCGAGAGGGAGCUAAUCGGAGAAAGCCGGUCUCAGUUCGGAUUGUAGGCUGCAACUCGCCUGCAUGAAGUUGGAAUCGCUAGUAAUCGCGGAUCAGCACGCCGCGGUGAAUACGUUCCCGGGCCUUGUACACACCGCCCGUCACAUCACGAAAGCCGGCUGUACUAGAGGUCGCUGCGCUAACCCGCAAGGGGGGCAAGCGCCUAAGGUAUGGUCG
rnacentral:rRNA from 1 species